rnacentral:lncRNA from 1 species
AUAAUAUCAACGUCCCAAUUUACUUGACUCUAUGAAAUGUUUUGCAAAUUCAUUCUAUGAAUGUCCAUAGACCAUGACCUUGUGCCCUUGGUAUUCCUCUAGCUACACUUUAUGUUCUUCUCUACAACAUUGUGCACUGUGAAGAAAACAACAAUUCUCCAUCCUGCAAUCUCCACUACACACUUCCCUCCACCAAUCCAAUCAAUUUUAAUUUAAACUAUUAUCAUUGCUAUUUAAAAAAAAAAUUACAAAAAAAAGAAUGAAAGAUGAACAGUCAACAUGUACAUAUCCACCACUUCAAAGUGCAUAAUGAGGAAAGACUAUUGGUCUUCACAAUACAUAAUAUUGUAGAGAAUAAGAUAAAAUGUCAAUAAAGAGAAUAAUAAACAAACAGAAG